AGGAGCAGCUGCUAAACCAACACCUGCUGUAGCAGAUGGCUUUGGGUUCGACCUGGCUGAUGCUCUUCAUCCAGAUCCCAAAUCUUCCGAGCCUUCUGGAGGACAUGACUUUGGAUUCAAGCUGGAAGAUGCUCUCCAUCCAGCUGAGAAACCUGUUGAUGACAGUGGAGGAAUCUGCCAGCAAAUUUUUGUUGAAAAACUGAACGAGGUCCUUGAGAAUCAAAAGCUGCUGCUGAAGCAGAGGGCUCCCUCUUCUCGCUUCUAUAACGGGCGUUAAGCACGGAGACACAGGACGACCUGUAUGUGAGGAAGACUUGUUGGAUGAUCACACCUCCCUCAAUACGCCUGCACCUCUUAAUGCUUUUUACUGAUCAUUACACAACUGAUGCCAUUUAUAUUUUAUAUCAUGAAUGCCAACACUCAUCUACUGUAUUGUAAAUGCACAAGUGAUGACUCGGCGUGCAGCGAGCUGUGAGACGGAUGUCUCCAGAACAUCCGAGCAUCGUGAUGAGCUUGGUGGAGGAUCAAUAAAGA